rnacentral:lncRNA from 1 species
UAUAAAUAUUUAAGUUUAGAAUUUAAUAUAAUACAAUAAAAAGAUGAAAAAAAAAACUAAAGGUUGUUGUUGUUGUUAUGCAUUUCCUCGAAGAAGUCUUGACUCCUCCUCUAUACGUCUUCUUCAUCUUCUUGUGUGGGGGAUGGCUCUGGAACGAGAUUAUUAAUUAACAUUUAAAAUCAUCUUCCUAUAUUAUCAACAAAUUCCAUAAACCUAUCAACAAAUUAUUCCCUA